rnacentral:rRNA from 1 species
UAAUCUACCUUCAAAGCUGGAAUAACUGUUCGAAAGGGCAGCUAAUACCGGAUAAAGUUGAUUUACAUAGGUAAGUUGAUGAAAGAUUGCCUCUUCUUGAAAGCAAUUGUUUGGAGAUGAGUCUGCGGACCAUUAGUUUGUUGGUGGGGUAAAGGCCUACCAAGACUGCGAUGGUUAGCUGGUCUGAGAGGAUGAUCAGCCACACUGGAACUGACACACGGUCCAGACUCCUACGGGAGGCAGCAGUGAGGAAUUUUGCGCAAUGGGGGUAACCCUGACGCAGCAACGCCGCGUGAGUGAAGAAGGCCUUUGGGUCGUAAAGCUCUGUCGACAGGGAAGAAAUUAUAAUCAUCUAAUAGGUGUUUAUAUUGACGGUACCUGUAGAGAAGCACCGCUAACU